rnacentral:rRNA from 1 species
AUUGAACGCUGGCGGCAUGCCUUACACAUGCAAGUCGAACGGUAACAGGUCUUCGGAUGCUGACGAGUGGCGAACGGGUGAGUAAUGCAUCGGAACGUGCCCAGCUGUGGGGGAUAACUGCUCGAAAGAGCAGCUAAUACCGCAUGCGACCUGAGGGUGAAAGCGGGGGAUCGCAAGACCUCGCGCAAUUGGAGCGGCCGAUAUCAGAUUAGGUAGUUGGUGGGGUAAAGGCCCACCAAGCCAACGAUCUGUAGCUGGUCUGAGAGGACAACCAGCCACACUGGGACUGAGACACGGCCCAGACUCCUACGGGAGGCAGCAGUGGGGAAUUUUGGACAAUGGGCGCAAGCCUGAUCCAGCCAUGCCGCGUGCAGGAUGAAGGCCUUCGGGUUGUAAGCUGCUUUUGUACGGAACGAAAAGACUCUGGUUAAUACCUGGGGUCCAUGACGGUACCGUAAGAAUAAGCACCGGCUAACUACGUGCCAGCAGCCGCCGUAAAAC